ACCGCCCUCAACGCUACCCUUCUAUGCCACAAACGGAGAGAUCUGCGCAAGCAGCUUCUCUCAAGCCAUCGCGGCUUUCUCCGGGGAGUCGCUGGCAAACCACGUUGCAUGUGAGAAAUUCGGAGAAACUCCCGACGGGGCACUGCCCCACCAGCCCGACCGCCUGCGCUUCUCCGGAGGCGCGGGACGUUGACGGCCUGCCGGUGACGGCACGAGGCGAAUCUGCCUUCGCAGUUGGCAUCAGAAAAGCAGGGCACUGGCCGUCCCCUUCCCUCGGAGGGGGCUCCGGUCCAGUGUUCCUCUGGGAGAGUCACUGCCGGGAUUGCUUGGACACAAGCUGAAGUGCGAUGGGUGGCGUGUCGCCUGCUUCUUACUUCGGUGGGGAGCAGGCCUCAUCAUUCAAUUCCGAUCACUCUUUGGGCGGU
rnacentral:RNase_P_RNA from 1 species